GAGCUUACACCGUGAGCUGCUCCACGAACCGGGCCGGUAAAAGUUCGAAUGUUUAAGAAGAAACGCGAUUUAACCUCAAAGUAGCCAAAAAGAAACACGACGCGAGCGGACCUGUUUGGACCGGGCCAGCCGCGGAACCAGGCCCGAACUCAUCUGGACCAGAAAGUUUCACUUUUCCUGCAGGAAAGUUUCACAAAUAAAAAAAAAACUUUUAAAGAUCAAACAACGUUAAAA